rnacentral:rRNA from 1 species
UCGAGCGGACAGAUGGGAGCUUGCUCCCUGAUGUUAGCGGCGGACGGGUGAGUAACACGUGGGUAACCUGCCUGUAAGACUGGGAUAACUCCGGGAAACCGGGGCUAAUACCGGAUGCUUGUUUGAACCGCAUGGUUCAAACAUAAAAGGUGGCUUCGGCUACCACUUACAGAUGGACCCGCGGCGCAUUAGCUAGUUGGUGAGGUAAUGGCUCACCAAGGCAACGAUGCGUAGCCGACCUGAGAGGGUGAUCGGCCACACUGGGACUGAGACACGGCCCAGACUCCUACGGGAGGCAGCAGUAGGGAAUCUUCCGCAAUGGACGAAAGUCUGACGGAGCAACGCCGCGUGAGUGAUGAAGGUUUUCGGAUCGUAAAGCUCUGUUGUUAGGGAAGAACAAGUACCGUUCGAAUAGGGCGGUACCUUGACGGUACCUAACCAGAAAGCCACGGCUAACUACGUGCCAGCAGCCGCGGUAAUACGUAGGUGGCAAGCGU